AAAAUAUACUCUGUUUUUUAUCAAGGAAGUAUUUUAUCGGUACAAGUAAAAUUGUAUCUAUAUGAUAAGGGAAAUGACAUUAGGACUGGUGUUAAUGUCAAAAGAUGAUAUUGGAAAUUUAACAUGGUGGCUUCAUAAUAUUACAAUCAUCACAGUUACCAUCCAAAGAAUGUCUUACAAAAUAAUAACACACCCUUGAGAAGAGAGGGAUUGGAGUGGAAGUAUUAUUCAGAUUAAACUCAUAGACCACCCUUGUCCAGCCCUAAUGAAGCAAGGAUCCUCAUGCAAUGCACUAAGGAAACCCUUAUCCAGCCCUAACAAAGCAGGAUGCCUCAUGCAAUGCACUAAGGAAACC
rnacentral:misc_RNA from 1 species